GCCAGUUCCCGUACGAUCAGCGAAGUUAAGAAACGUCUAUCCUGGUCAGUACGUAGAUGGGUGACCGCUUGGUAAUACCAGGUGUUGCAAGC